rnacentral:rRNA from 1 species
UCGUCUCGUCGGUCGUCGUUUCCCCUUUCCUUUUCUUUGCUCUAAUAACAAGAGGGAGGGGAGGGAGCGUGGGCGGAUGGGAGGCAUCGGUCGGUCGCUGUUGAGUCCCUCUGCUCUGCUCUGCUCUCCUUUCGCGGGGGCGGGCGGGGGGUAAGGAGCGAGGGAGGGAAGGCGGAGCGCGGGCGCGCACCUUAGGGGAAACUGAGCGUCGAAGGGGGCGGCUGCGGGCGGUCGGCGCGGACGGCCGCCCAGCUGGUCGCCGUCAGGCUAGGCGGCGGCGAGCAGGGCGGAGGAGUGGGUCCAGAGGAUGGCUCCUCCUCCUCCUCCUCCUCCUCCUCGUCCUCCUCCCCUCCGACUGUGGGCCCACGCGCGUCCCCCGAUCGAUCUAAGCCUUCCCGCGGUACUUCUUUCACAAGCUGGUCUGCCAGGCCCUGGACUUUGCGCCCCACUUAUUUUUCCAGGAGUUCCACGGACCGUGCCUUGUCUUCUAAGAGCUGCGGUGUUCGUUACUCGGCACCCCGGGGGUACCUAGGGAGGACCGCCUCUAGCGGGUUCGUUGUGUAUUGAUAGUACUCAUAGUCUACUAUUACUUAUAGCACACCUUCUCCCAGUCGCUAUGACCAUUUUUAACCGCCGUACACAUGUUCCCUAACUAACAGGACCUAAUGGACCAUCGUGUACCUUGGCUCGCUCAAUAACUACUGUAUUCCCUCGUAAGAAUAGUCUAUAGCCGUGAUCGACUAAAGGUCAUAUAGCUAAGAUCACCCUCUCUAGUUCCAUCGUUACAUGCUGCCUUUAGGGUCUCGGAGCAAUCAAAUCAAUUACUAUUCCUUUCCUAUGACCUUCAAUCCGUCUUUCGUGAACGAUGGUCCCUGUUCAUAGCCUCACGUAAACGGUGCUCACCUGGUGUGUCCUCAGGACCACCUAUACUGUUACUGGCACUAGCGAUGCUUCCUCCAUCUAUACUAUUGUCCUUACCGAUACCCUCCCUUGCUCUACCCAUAUCUCUACUACUGUCUAUGUCACCGCGACCUCUAUGGGGGUUAUCCCUACCUCUAGCAAUAAGAUCCCUAAGAUUACUUGCGUUGUCCCUUCUACUUAUGUCUCCUUCAUUAUCGUUGGGACUCAUACGUCUUCCUAGUCCGGCGUCCUCGAUGCCCCUACUCCUCCGAAUAAGUAGGGCACCAGCACCGUCGUUGCGACUACGCGGAUGAGUCCUACUCUCCGGAUAACUCGCCUUCCGAAGAUUGGUCGUCUAACGAAGUGGUGGUUUGAUGCUUCUACAGUGUCCUCUAUGGGUCCUGUUAGUAGUACUACUUUCUUUACCUCCCUCACACGGACGACAACGUGGUUUCCACAGAAGAGGUAGACAAGGAUCUUGUUCGAAAGGGGGUCGGGGUCCCGUCCACUUACCACAAGUACUAUUCGGACAGCUCCAACAUCGACGUGUUGGUGGACGAGGACGACGUGUUGGUGGACGCGGACAACUUGGCUUACCAAAACUACUCAAACUAGGUGCACCUAGUCAUGGUCUACGAAGUGGAGGCCACUUAUGGAGUGGCUAUUACUUAUCGAAACUCUACCUAAACAAACCCAGUCUAGGAUAACCGCGGGACCGAAACCAAAGACACGGAGUCGGCUGACUGCAGGGUUCACAGCUCGGUAGUCGUUCAAGUCCAAAACUUUGCCUAUCAAAAUACCCGUACGGUGGACGAAGAUUACCUAAGUCACUCCGUUAACUACGAAGUUUAGGAAAACCUCUAGGAUGAGGAAAGUUCCGUCAAGUUCUUCUCUUAGUACGUCGAAGAGUCUGUUUACGCUGGGGACGACCAAGUAAGGUCCGGUGUCCUGGACCACGUCUACAUUUAGGAAAGGUCGGACGAAGUAGGUGAUUGAAACCAAAACUUCUAUGAGAGCCGCCAGAGUCAAAACGUAGGUUACGACGUGGACCCGUUGUCCUAUAAAAACCUUCGUGGUGGAGGAAUGGAAGCCCCCAAAGUGUACGUUUAGGCAGGGUUGUCCGUGGGGGUCGAAUACAAGGGAGGGUCCGUAGAGUCGGAUAAUGAGUACGAGGAGUUCGUCACCGUGGGUUAUGAGUACGACGAGGGUACAAACGAGUCGGUGUUCGUAUAGGACGUCGGUACUUGGGUAGUAGUAAAAGAGUCCGACGACGCGGUAGUAAACGAGGAGGUGUCGGUGGAGUUGUACGACGUGGUAGUAAACGAGGAUGUGUCGGUGGAGUUGUACGACGUGGUAGUAAACGAGGAGGUGUCGGUGGAGUUGUACGACGUGGUAGUAAACGAGGAGGUGUCGGUGGAGUUGUACGUCGAGGUUUAGAUGGUAGUCCGGGUAGUUUGAAAAUAUACGUUGGCCGAAGUGUCUUACCUCGUGGUGGUAGGAUACAAGGAGGUGUCAGAAGAGUAGAGGGUGGAGUUGUGCGUAGAGUCGUUUCGAAGGAGGGUGUUUGACGACGUGGUCGUGGUGUCCGUGGUAGUUAUAGAGCUCCCCGUAGAGUCGGAAAACCACGGGGUUUAAGUCACGGUAGACCACGGUCGUGAGGAGACGUCAGUUCAAAUAGUCGAGGGGGUCUUUGUGAUUAAAGUCGAAACGUUCAAUCAGUCUGGGUCGGUCACUUCUUUAAACUCGGGUUUAGAUGUCAAACCAGACUAUGUAACUGGGCCCCAGAGCAACUAAAGUUGUAAAGACCACGUUUUUGGUUAGGUGUGCGUCUAUAACCUCACCUGAAGCUAAGUUAGUUGGCGUUCCUAUUUUCUGUUCUGUUCUUCUAGAGAGUUCGUGGACAUCAUAGAUGCUAGUGGUACCCGUUCCGGUACCCGAGACCGAGACCGUAACCGGCUCGACCACGCUCACGGCAACGUGGAGGAAGGUUGGGUUACCCACGCCCCGCCCCACAGCCAUAACCACCACGACCAAUACCACCGCCUUACCCUUACUUGGCCGGUUACCCCUACCCUUACCCUUACCCUUACUUGGUUGUUGGGUACCCUCACCCCUACCCCUACUUGGUCGUUGGCUACCCCUACUUGGUUGUUGGGUACCCUUACCCGUACCCCUACUUGGUUGUUGUCUACCCUUACCCUUACCCCUACUUGGUUGUUGUCUACCCUUACCCCUACCCCUACCCGUACUUGGGCCCCUACUACGCCGGAGGAGUCUACCCCUACCGAGGGCCGCCGUACGGACCGCGGCCGAUGUUGGUCUACCCACGACCUAUACCGCCGGUCGUCGGUAUGCCGCCCAUGUCCACUCUAAUGUGUCGCCACCUAGCUUGUCGCUCCCAAACUCUUUUGUCAAAUCGUCCGAAAGCCUAAAACGAGUGGACCCAAAGGGAAUACAUACUAAAGAAAACAACCCCCCAUAUUAAAAAUAGUGAUAAGAAAAAGGAUAGGUAGGGUACAACCUAUAUGACAUAGAUGACUUUACAUAGCUGUACCGUGACGGUGUUGACGGCGCAACACAAACCUACGUUUCGGUGUACUAUAAUGUUCGAACCAACCAACAUCAACAUAUUAAGAGAUAUCCGAUGAGAACAGUGGUUUGUAUACAAUAAACAAAGUCGCAAGAACGACCUAUCCGUUAUUUUCCUACAUGAUGGUAAAACAGC